rnacentral:rRNA from 1 species
UCGGGAAUCUUCCGCAAUGGGCGAAAGCCUGACGGAGCGACGCCGCGUGAGCGAUGAAGGCCUUCGGGUUGUAAAGCUCUGUGGGGAGGGAAGAAUAAGUUUAGGCGAAUACCCUGAAUGAUGACGGUACCUCCUUAGCAAGCACCGGCUAACUCUGUGCCAGCAGCCGCGGUAAGACAGAGGGUGCAAACGUUGUUCGGAUUUACUGGGCGUAAAGCGCGUGUAGGCGGCUUGGCAAGUUGAAUGUGAAAGCCCACGGCUCAACCGUGGAAGCGCAUCCAAAACUGCUUCGCUCGAGUCUCGGAGAGGAAGGUGGAAUGCUUGGUGUAGAGGUGAAAUUCGUAGAUAUCAAGCAGAACACCUGCGGCGAAGGCGGCCUUCUGGACGAUGACUGACGCUGAGACGCGAAAGCGUGGGGAGCAAACAG